UAGUAGGGGUAGGAUGGGC
rnacentral:piRNA from 1 species